rnacentral:lncRNA from 1 species
GGAAACUUCAGUGCUAGCAACCAACAGAGACUGCAAUCAAUGGAGGCACCAGUUGAGUAUGCAAACUGGGAGAAGAUGAGAGCCCAAGUUAGACCAAAUCAUCAUCAGAAUGCUCCAUCACAGGCAGAAACAGAUCAGACAAGUGAACCUUCGAAGGUGGGAUCUCAAAAUAUGGAGGAGGACCCAAAAGUAUUACCUGCGGUGGCAAAUAGCGAUCGACCUUCUUAUGAUGGGUAUAACUGGAGGAAAUAUGGACAAAAGCAAGUGAAAGGGAGCGAAUAUCCGCGAAGCUACUAUAAGUGUAC